AGUGAACGCUGGCGGUAGGCCUAACGCAUGCAAGUCGAACGGCAGCACAGUAAGAGCUUGCUCUUACGGGUGGCGAGUGGCGGACGGGUGAGGAAUACAUCGGAAUCUACUUUUUCGUGGGGGAUAACGUAGGGAAACUUACGCUAAUACCGCAUACGACCUACGGGUGAAAGCAGGGGAUCUUCGGACCUUGCGCGAUUGAAUGAGCCGAUGUCGGAUUAGCUAGUUGGCGGGGUAAAGGCCCACCAAGGCGACGAUCCGUAGCUGGUCUGAGAGGAUGAUCAGCCACACUGGAACUGAGACACGGUCCAGACUCCUACGGGAGGCAGCAGUGGGGAAUAUUGGACAAUGGGCGCAAGCCUGAUCCAGCCAUACCGCGUGGGUGAAGAAGGCCUUCGGGUUGUAAAGCCCUUUUGUUGGGAAAGAAAAGCAGCAGGUUAAUACCCCGCUGUUCUGACGGUACCCAAAGAAUAAGCACCGGCUAACCUCGUG
rnacentral:rRNA from 1 species